UAGAAUUGUCUCCCCUAGAAGGACCUUCCUUGCCAAAGGUGACCAUGGGUUGGGCUGUGGUCUUCCUUGCGCUCCUCGCUUACUGCACAGGCAUUGAUGGUCAACUAAGUUGGACUCAGCCUCCAACAAGUUCCGUGUCCCCAGGUGGAACCGUUACAAUCUCCUGCACAACCCAGAGUACUGACACCAUCCGCUGGCAUCAACAGAAAGCAGGAAAAUCCCCUCGUUUUGUCCACUGUGAUGGCUGCAGCAGGGGAGAAGGGAUCCCAAAUCGGUUCACUGCCACCAGAUCUGGGACCACAGGAUCUUUGACCAUUACCAACACAGAGGCUGGAGAUGAGGCUGAUUAUUACUGUGGUAGCUGGAACAGUGCAGGCAACGCGUUCCACAGUGAUUAAUUCUUAUGGGGAAGUGUGACAAAAACCUCCUCUCUGCCUCUCCAGCCU